rnacentral:lncRNA from 1 species
AAAUUUGAAAAUAUUUAAUUUACGUUUACUUUUUUUUUUUUUCUAAUACACUUAUCAUAUGUUCCUCCGUUAUUUAAAAGUACCUCCGCAAUUACCACCCGUUAAGUUAUUUGGAGUUAAAGAUGAGUUAAGUGUCUAGCAGAGUUAAAAAAAAUUAAAAUAUUUUUUUUGUCUUUAACUUAAAAGUAAAUAAGAAAAGCUUGUGAUAAUAAUAGAAAAGUACGUAUAUUUGAAAAGACAAAAAAUCAAAUACCUCUUUUGCCCCUAAUUUAAGGGCAAAGAAGAAAAGUUAGUGAUAGUAAAAUAAUAUAUUGAAAACGAUAAAAUAGUAAUUUUAUAGAUAUAACGAUUAUUGUUAACCGUUUAUUAACGGGAUUUAACUCUAAUAGGAGCAUUUGAAAUAACUUGAAAUGUAAAAAAAAAAUAUUUUUAAUAUUAGCCUUUUAAGAAAAAUAAAUUAGAAAAUCAAGAACUUUCUGGAGUGAACAAGCAUAUAUAUUAUUCUU